rnacentral:lncRNA from 1 species
AGCACCGCGGACCUACCCACUCGGGAGUUCCCGAGGCUGGGGGUCCAGGCGAGGGCGGGGCGGAGCCGGAGGGCGGUGGCGGCGGAGCCAGGCGCGGGGCUGGCGGCCCAGCAGCCUCCCCAGGGACCCGGGUCCAACCCGAGCGGGAGUCGCGCGGGCGCACACACAGCGCCGCGGGCCGGGGCGCGCGGGGUACCUCCGGUGAAGAGGUCCUGCUUCACGGCUGAGCGCCCCUAUUCACCGGCCCCGGCAGGCCGAUCAGAAAAAAUAACGUCUGUGCUUCCCAGAGAAGAGAAUGGAGCGGCGGCAGCGUCCCGGGCAACGUUCCCGGGCCCCGAUGUCAGAGCUCCCUUGGCCCCGUCCCCUCCACACUCACAUCCCGCCGCUGGCGACCCGGGGCGNNNNNNNNNNNNNNNNNNNNNNNNNNNNNNNNNNNNNNNNNNNNNNNNNNNNNNNNNNNNNNNNNNNNNNNNNNNNNNNNNNNNNNNNNNNNNNNNCGGCGGGCGGCGGCUCCGAGCGGCGGCCGGGCGGGGGGCGCUGGAGGCCAGGCCGGCCAGAGGGGAUCCCGAGAGCCCCAUGAAGUGCCCCCGUGGCCGCGGACGGGGCGCUGUCCUGGGGAGGCUGUCGGGGGGUCCCCGACAUCCAUGGCUAGGCGGGGGCCGCGGCGGCGCGCUCGGAGGCCGGCGGCGGCGGCUGCCCCGAGGGACGGGGCCCUAGGCGGUGGCGAUGGGGGCCGUCCGGAUCGCGCCCGGCCUGGCGCUCCUGCUCUGCUGCCCGGUGCUCAGCUCCGCGUACGCGCUGGUAAGUCCCUCGCCCGCACUCCAGGACAGGCUGCGGGCUUGCUCUGCGGUCCCUGGGGUGGGUCCAGGGCGCAGAGUCUUGGGUUCCCUGAGUAAUCCGAACUUUGGAUGAGCGUUCCCUCCGACCCGAGAUCCUGGGUGCCUGCUGUCUCUGGGAUGUCUGGACUCGGUUCCUGAUGCCUAUGGUCCCCUUAUUUCUGAAGCCUGGGUUUGGGGUCCCAGGUCUGGAAAGCUGUAGUUGGGGUUCCUCUAUCGUUUGCGUCUGAGCACCCCUCGUCUGGUUGUGUCUCCUUCAGGGAUGACAGUGUGAUCUAGCCGGAGGCUGGGCUUUGGCCCUGAUGUAAGGUCCCACAGACUUUGUUCCGGGGCCUCGGUUUUCUGCAAGUUUUGUUUGCAAGCCAGGACACAGGGCUGUGGGUCUGAGGUCAGAAUCACCCAGGCAGGGGGUAGGAUUUAGGGGUGCCCUCCAGCUCUCACGAUCACAUGCACGUACACACGCCCGGACACUCUUGCCCAGGGAGGCGGGUGUGGUGUGGCAUGGAGGAAGGAUGGAGGUCUCCUGAAGGAGCCCGACCUCACAGAAUGCUUUUCCAGGAGAAACAUGCUGCAGGGGGACUCUGGUGAGUGAGGGACCCCCUGUGUACCCUCCUGAGAGCCGAAGCCAAGAGGAGGUCAGAGAGAGAAGAAGAGGCAGGUUGGGAGAUAAGGCCAGAGAGAGAGGAGAGAGACAAAGGGGGUGGAAUGAGAGCUCCCCAGAGUAGAAGGAGUAGACAGGCCAAGAAUGGCGGAGCGAGGUAGGGACUGGAGGAGGCCGAGAGCUGGAGACACGGAGGGACUGGAGACAUGGAGAGAUGGAGAGACCUAUCUUCCUCUUCCCGGGCCAGAGACUGGGGGCUGGACCUGGGGAGUCAGUCCGAUCCCACAGCAGCCCUGUCCCGGAGGACUAGCCCACCUCCCAGGAGGCUGUCUGCCUGUGUGUCCGACUUCAAGGCCCCUGCUGCCUCCCCAGUACCUCCCAGGUGGGGGCAUCUGUCUUCUAGAGAAACGGGCAGGCAAGCAGGCAGCCACCUUCUCCCGACCAGCUCCCUACCCAGGCAGAACCUGAGGCGGGAUGGCAGGAGCUCUGGGAUUCCUCCAGCUCUGCCUAAGGCCCCUGUGAC